UUUGUCUCGUUGCGUCGUCGCCUUCUUUCUGUUAUUUCAUUUUCGGAAAAAUUUUGACGUGUAAUUUCUUACGAAUUUUUCGUAACGCCUCGAAUAGAUACUGAGGUGCAUUAUAUGUACGUACAUACGUAGUAAAAUAAACAACUUUUAAAUGAGCGAUGACCUACUUGAAUUAUCGCAUUUGGAUCGAAAUUUCGAAAAUUGUCUAUCUAUUAUUGUCAUAUCGAAUGUUUUCCUUGUUAUUUUUCUUCGCUUGUAAGUAUUUUUUUUUCUAAAUGUCAAAUAAUUUUACCAAUGAUUUGACAGCAUUGAGAAAUAACGCGUCUUUCUCGUUAUAGUUUCCUCGUUGUUCAGCCUUAUACGCUUCAUAAGAUAAGGAAAAUAGGCUACCCACAUACCUACCUAACGCUACCUACUUACGUACAGGAAUAAAAAUUUACAUAAUUUUUUCCUUCUUUUACUUUACGAAAUUUUUUUCGCCCAUUUUCAAUGCAAAACAGGAAAAAUUGCGGGUUUUUUCAUCAAUGAGAAUUAUUUGAAGUUGCGAAUUCCAUAUUUCGUGUUAUCAUAAUAAAUUAUUUUUUACUAAAGAAAAAAAUCUUUUGAACUCUGUGGUUUCAAAAUGAAGGAAACUUGAAUACUAAAUUUUUAGCAACGUAAUCUGUAUGAUUUUUCGAUUUUUGGUAAUUAAAAAAAAUUCACGACCAACUUCCAACUAAAAAUAGUUCCAGCCUUAUUUGAAAUUUUCCAUUUAAAAAAAAACAAAAAACAAAAAGGUUGCGUUUUUUGAAACUUUUGUUCUUUUAGGAUGUUUCUUAACAUAAAGAUCAACUUUUGGGAGAAAAGAAACAGAUAUGUAACCUUACUUCCUUAUUUUUUCGAUCACAGAAGCCUCAAUCCACGAUUAAGAGACCACGAAGAGAUACAACCCUAUACGUAAUUUCCCAUCUUAUUAUCGUUCUUAUAGCUCAGAAGCUCAUUUGAAAAAAAAAAGUGUAUACCUGUACUUAUCCAGCAGCCUACGUAGUCCUAUAUAUUCCUAUUAUGAAUUUAGGUUACUGUACCGAUGAGAAUUCUCUUCAUGAUGAAGAUUUGCGGUUUCCUUUACGAGUGUAACUUAUACCUACCCGUAAAUAUUGGAAAAUUACCCUCUAAAAAUAAAAAUUAGCUUUUCACGUUAACACCCCAACGGGCACAUUCUGAAAAUAAUGUUGGAGGCGAAUUUCGGUGCAAAGACGAUGAGAUGAUGUGUGUGGAGAAAUCUGACGAAAGCGAUGAAAAUUGAAAACUACAUCGUAUCGUUGCUUAUCAAAAGAGACGAGAUAGGUACCCUUUUGUCAGUUUGUGUAAGGUAAAUGUUCAACUUCAACCUGUCAACGAAUGAUACAUUUUCGCCGAUUCUCUAAUAAUUAAUGAAAUUUCCAGUUAAAUAAUAACCGAUAGGUAUAUCAAACAACGAAGGUUUAUUCAGCGGAUCGUUCAGUCGUUGAUAUUUACUUACUCUAGAAGUUUUCGUAUGAUAUCCCCGCACAUUUAAAAAAAGCAACCAUUUUAGAUGCGUGAUGAAUAUACUGUCAGAAUUCGAACCAUAAGUUAACCUUAUUUUUACCCUCAUCAAAGUCAUUACGUUUUCGAUAUUGAUUUCAUUUCUUUUCAGUUUUUUUUCCUCUGCAAAAUUCUAAAAAUAAUAAAAUUGUAUCUAUUGGAACCUAAUUAUUUAGGACUCAAAUGACUGGACAUUACCUAUAUUUUUAAUUCAGAAUGAGCAAGCUUAUAUCGCAAUUGCAGUCAGAAUAUAAAUCACGUUACAUGAUUCGAAGAUUUAAAUAGCAAUGGGCGCCGAAAUUUAUGAAAUACAAGUGUACGAAGCUGGGUAUACCUACUUAUUUCUUGAUUAAUAUGGCUCGGAUGAUGUUGAUACUCAACGUUAUGUGAAGUGUGAUGAAUACCAGAUCUUAUUUUUCUCAAGCUACGAGUACCUUGAAAACUAAACGUGCAUUAUCGUACGUCCUUUAUUCGUCUAUAAAAUGUAAUAUUGAAAUGAAAAUGACUGUAUACGUAGGUAUAGGAAUAUCAGCUUUAUUAACAUGAG